rnacentral:tRNA from 1 species
GGUUGUACCUCAGUGGUAGAGCACCUGCCUCGCAAGCAUGAGGCCCUGGGUUCGAUUCUCAGCACCA